rnacentral:tRNA from 1 species
GCGCCGGUAGCUCAGUUGGAUAGAGUAACUGGCUACGAACCAGUAGGUCGGGGGUUCGAAUCCCUUCCGGCGCA